ensembl:lncRNA
GGGGCCGGGGUGGUGGUGGCAAGGGUAGCGUGGGUGACCCCUGACAUCCUGGCACCCUAUCUUCCUACAGCUCCUGUGGGACUUGGAGCUGCUGACUGGGGCGGGGCUGGGCCUCUUCUGGCCCCCCUGGGCCCAGUUCUGCGGUCUGAGGGGCCAGGCCCAGGGUGCAGGGAGCCAGUGCAGCAAGCUCCGCAGGAGGAUGGAAAGCGCUGAGCGGCUGAUGAGAGAGUGCCCUAUGGACCUGGGCAACCCCCCAACCCUUCCAGAAUUCCAGGCAGUGCCCAUCAUCCCAGGCUGAGGACUCCCUGAGCCAGAGCCAUCAGCUCCUAGGGGGGGGGAAAGUAGUGGCCCCAUCAUCAGCCCUGGAUCUGGGUGAAGCCAGGAGUGAUACGGAUGCAAGGCCUGAGAGCCCCAGCAUG